rnacentral:lncRNA from 1 species
UUUAUAAUCCCUAGGAUCGGAGCCUUCCAUUGUGCAUACAAACUUUAAACGACUUGAUCAUGUGGCUAAGAUUGGCCAAUUAGUUAUUUUCAAUUAAAGUUUAUUAUUUAUUUUUAUCAAGAGCGCUAAUUAGCAUCAAGGGCGCUUGACCCAGUGGUAAGGGGGUAGGGGUUCAACCCCUAAUGCCCCUAUUUCUUUUCUUUUUCUUCCUUUUCCUUUUUUAUUUCUUAUUUUCAUUUUAGUUUCUUUAUUUUAUUCUUUUUCUUUUCAUUUUAAUUUCUUCUCAUUUAUUAUUUUUUAACCAAAUAUUUUUGUACAUACUUUUCAUCAAACCUUUAUUUUAUUUUAUCCAUUAAUCAUUUUAUUUUUUCAUCAUUUCCAUUGGACAUUUAUACCCUUGUGUUUGAUUAUGGAUGAUGACAAAUUUAUUGAUCGUGGUACUUGAUUUUAGGGUUGACCUAAUCUUCAACAUUUUAAACAUGUUAAUGAAUGAUCAAUGGAUCAUUCAAGACACUUUGAGGUGUUGAUAAAUUGCCUCUAUUUGAACAUGUUUAAACCAUUUGAUGCAUAGAUGAGACCGUCACUUGUUG